rnacentral:tRNA from 1 species
GGCACUUUGGCGGAGUGGUUAACGCGAUGCCCUGCUACUAGUUAUUUCGCUGUUAGCCUAGGCAUUUCCUUCGGGAGCGUGAGUUCGAAUCUCACAGGUGUCG